UGUUCGCUCGUCACGCCGAAGACCCAGGUUCGAUUCCCAACAUGGGUACAAUCUGUAAAUCCCAUUUCUGGUGUCCCCCGCCGUGAUAUUGCU